UGGGCUCUGAAUCAACAGCUCUUCUUCCCAAGGAGCUAAAGGAAUGGGAAGAGAGCUGUCUGUGGCUGGCAGACCUGCCCAGAGGAAGGCUCAUGAAUUUAAGCGGUUAUAUAUCUGUGCACGCAAAUCAUGGCGGUGCUUCGAACACGGCGCUCUGGUGUUGGGUGCUGUAAAUCAGAAAAGUCAGAACAGAAAAGGCUAACGAUGCUGAUCGCUUCGAAUGGGGCCAGAACGCUCUGCAAGCCUAGCGGAGUUUUUGACAUGGAUUGAAUAAAUUGAUGGAUUAAA
rnacentral:lncRNA from 1 species